UCUUUUGUAGGUUAUUUUUUAAACUGUCGGUUUGUGGUACCGUUGAAUCUAAUUAGUAGGCGAAGGAA
rnacentral:tRNA from 2 species